AUUAGAUUUGUUUGUUUCUUUUCCCCUUCAUGCAUCAUCAUGGCAUAUGCAUCAUCACAUCCAUGUUUUUAAUAAGUAAAAUUAUUUUAUAAACCCCAAUUAUUUUGUUUCCCUCUCUUAUGGUUUCUAUAUUAAACCCUCCUCUAUGUCUUUUCAUUUAACAAACCCUGACACAAUACUUUUAAAAUAAAAUAAACUAUUUGCUAAAAGAGUUUUCCUAAAAUAAACAAAAGAGAAAAGGAUUUUCUAAAUAAAAAUAAAACCCUCCCCUCUCCCUUGGGCUCUCUCUCCCUGGCCCAGUCUUUCCCUCUCUCCUUUCCUUCCUCCAGGCCGAGCAACCCAACCCGACGGCGCAAGUCAGCCCACCUGUUUCGGCCCGUACCCCUUCGAGCCUCCUUUCCCCUUGUCCUCUUUUCAACCUCACGCAGAGAGCGUGAGCUCCUCCUGCCGUGGUCCUCCUCCACCAGCACCGCAUCGCCCUCCCCCAUGUGAGCCUCCCCUCUCCUCAUCUUUAUCCCUGGACCACAGCAUCCCCAGCUGGCUCCCUUCCUCGCCCACGUCUCUUCCUCCCCUCCUUUCUUCCUCUCCAAGAAGAACCAGAAGCAAGGGAGAAACCCCCUGGCCGCCGCAGCACCCCAUGGCGCCGUCGCAUCCGGCCGUCCCUAGCCUCGCCGCUGCCACCAUCGGGACCGCCUCGACGUCCUCUGCCUCCUCCCCAACGGAAUCGAGCCCGCGUGGCCCGUAGAGACGCCACGCUCGCCGUUUCUCCCCGUCGGCCUCCGGUGCUCUUCCUCAAAAUACGGCGAACGUCGACCUCCCCGGCGCCGAGGACUGCACGUCGAGUUUCCUGAUCUUCGCCGCCGGCGGUCCUCCGGCGACCUUCCGUGGGUGGCGCCGCCCUCCCUUGAACCACGCCGUCAAGGCGCACCUCACGCGCCAGCUCUUGUAUCCGGGGAAGCCCCGCGACGCCGCUCUCUUCCUCGCCAACCGCGGUGACCGCGUUCUCUGGAACGCGCGCGGCAAGCUGCGCGUCGAGCACCUGGAGUGCAGCCGCAGAUGGUUGGCCAGCUCAGCGCGCCACGUCAUCCACCCGGACCCACCCGUCAGCCGCUCGGGUUAGAACACCCCUCGCAUUUGCUUCUUCUCGGAUAGGAUCACGAAGUGGUGCGGUGAGAUACGCCAAGUUCUUCGGAUGUUCCUCAG